rnacentral:rRNA from 1 species
UUAUCUUAGUGGCGGACGGGUGAGUAACGCGUGAGCAACCUGCCUUUCAGAGGGGGAUAACGUCUUGAAAAGGACGCUAAUACCGCAUGACAUUAUGGAGCCACAUGGCUCUAUAAUCAAAGGAGCAAUCCGCUGAAAGAUGGGCUCGCGUCCGAUUAGGUAGUUGGCGGGAUAACAGCCCACCAAGCCGACGAUCGGUAGCCGGACUGAGAGGUUGAACGGCCACAUUGGGACUGAGACACGGCCCAGACUCCUACGGGAGGCAGCAGUGAGGGAUAUUGGUCAAUGGGGGAAACCCUGAACCAGCAACGCCGCGUGAGGGAUGACGGCCUUCGGGUUGUAAACCUCUGUCCUCUGUGAAGAUAAUGACGGUAGCAGAGGAGGAAGCUCCGGCUAACUACGUGCCAGCAGCCGCGGUAAUACGUAGGGAGCAAGCGUUGUCCGGAUUUACUGGGUGUAAAGGGUGCGUAGGCGGUUUGGUAAGUCAGAAGUGAAAUCCAUGGGCUUAACCCAUGAACUGCUUUUGAAACUAUCGAACUUGAGUGAAGUAGAGGUAGGCGGAAUUCCCGGUGUAGCGGUGAAAUGCGUAGAGAUCGGGAGGAACACCAGUGGCGAAGGCGGCCUACUGGGCU